rnacentral:tRNA from 1 species
GCCUGGCUGGCUCAGUUAGAAGAGCAUGUGACUCUUGAUCUUGGGAUAGUGAGUUAGAGCCCCACGCUGGGUC